rnacentral:sRNA from 1 species
UACUAUGAUUAACAAAAUGAGCUAUGCGCUAACAUAGCUCAUUUGUAGAACCGUUAAAAAGACGGUAGCUUUUAUUAGUUUGAUAUUCUA